GUUAUUACAUAUAUACUAACAGGAAUGCUAAGAAAACGGAACAAUCGCAUUCUUUAAAACAGUUUGAAAGGCAAAGUUAUCAGAAGCCAGGGAGGAAGCAGAAAACAAUCCCUCACAAGAAAGUAACCUCUCUCUACAGCAAGCCAAGGCCAAGUUCCUCAGGCACAAACGGGAAGCACAGAAGAAAAGCUGGAGAAAUAAAACAGCCCCGCUCAACCUAGAGCGAGAUGGCCAAAAGCUGUGGAGAUUGACGAGACAGCUGAACGAUGAAGAAACAGGAAGAGGCUCUGUAACUCUGGAAGAGAUAUUAUACUCUUUGGUUAUCCACUGACUGAUGUUUUAUAAAAAGAAUGUUGAUGUUUAUACUCAAUAUAGUCUAUGUUCUUUUGCUAUUGACAGUGAACAAAAUAUAAAAAAUAUAAUACUGUAGUAAAUCGAAGGAAGGGCACAGCAUAUAAUAUGUUAUACGUUUACUCUGCUUUGCGGUUCUUUUUUUGCGAUAGAAUAUGUUAUGAAUUUAGUGCUGUCAUAGCUCUUUAGUACUUAGACAUUUGUAUUGAUAACUACACUUAAAACAAAUUAUUAAAAAACUAUUUAAAAUAUGGACAGAUAUAAAGGACACUUAUUGACUGAAAAAUUGUUGAAAAAGACGUUAAACCCGAACACACACACACACAAAGGACACUUAUUUAAUAUGUUUUUGUAGGAGCACUAUGUUUUUGCUAUUAUUUGGCGAUAGAAAAGGGUAUGAAUUUUAGUGUGCUGCUAUAGCUUCUCAGAAUACAUUUGUAUCGAUAACUUUUAGGACAGAGGUAAAGUACACUUAGCUAAUAUGUUGUUGUGGGUGUGCUAUACUUUGUUUUCUUCCAGCUCUUUAUUAUUCAUUCGCAUUGAAAGCAAUACUUAUUAAAGGUAUACUCAUUUAAACUCUCUAAAAAUGAAAAGAUGUAAUAAAAACGUGCACUUAUAUAAUAUAUUUUAAAGGUGUACUAUACUUCAAAGUUUUUUGUUUGUUUCUUUUUUGCGAAAGAAAAGAUUAUGAAUUUUAGUGUGCUAUUACAUGUAUAGUUUUUCAGUAUAUACAUUUUGUAUUUGUAUUGAUAACUAUACUUAUUAAGUGUAUACUGAUAAAAA
rnacentral:lncRNA from 1 species